rnacentral:rRNA from 1 species
AUUGAACGCUGGCGGCAUGCCUUACACAUGCAAGUCGAGCGGUAACAGGUCCUCGGAUGCUGACGAGUGGCGAACGGGUGAGUAAUACAUCGGAACGUACCUAGUAGUGGGGGAUAACUACUCGAAAGAGUGGCUAAUACCACAUGAGAUCUACGGAUGAAAGCAGGGGAUCGCAAGACCUUGUGCUACUAGAGCGGCCGAUGGCGGAUUAGGUAGUUGGUGGGAUAAAAGCUUACCAAGCCGACGAUCUGUAGCUGGUCUGAGAGGACGAUCAGCCACACUGGGACUGAGAAACGGCCCAGACUCCUACGGGAGGCAGCAGUGGGGAAUUUUGGACAAUGGGCGCAAGCCUGAUCCAGCAAUGCCGCGUGCAGGAUGAAGGCCUUCGGGUUGUAAACUGCUUUUGUACGGAACGAAAAGCCCCGGGUUAAUACCCUGGGGUCAUGACGGUACCGUAAGAAUAAGCACCGGCUAACUACGUGCCAGCAGCCGCCGUAA